ACACAUUCCAGCCAAUCAGCAGCAGACCCUCCCUCCCAGACCCUCCCACCUCCUGGACAGCUCACUAAGAAUGCAGCUUCAAAAUGGAUGCUGUCCAGGAGGUGGGAGGGUCUGGGAGGGAGGGUCUGCUGCUGAUUUGCUGGAAUGU